UACGGGGGGGGCAAGCGUUGUUCGGAAUUACUGGGCGUAAAGGGCCAGUAGGCGGCCAACUAAGUCGGAUGUGAAAUCCCCAGGCUUAACCUGGGAACUGCAUCCGAUACUGGAUGGCUUGAAUUCGGGAGAGGGAGGCAGAAUUCCAGGUGUAGCGGUGAAAUGCGUAGAUAUCUGGAGGAAUACCGGUGGCGAAGGCGGCAUCCUGGACCGACAUUGACGCUGAACGGCGAAAGCUAGGGGAGCAAACGGG
rnacentral:rRNA from 1 species